GGCUGUAGCUCAGUGGUAGAGCUCCUGCUUUGCAUGCAGAAGGUCCCAGGUUCAAUCCCAUGGUCAGGGCUA